rnacentral:rRNA from 1 species
UAAUACGUAGGAGGCUAGCGUUAUCCGGAUUUACUGGGCGUAAAGAGGGCGUAGGCGGCUUUUCAAGUCGGAUGUAAAAUCUCCCGGCUUAACUGGGAGGGAUAAUCCGAUACUGUUGGGCUAGAGGGCAGCAGAGGGAGGUGGAAUUCCCGGUGUAGUGGUGAAAUGCAUAGAUAUCGGGAGGAACACCAGUGGCGAAGGCGGCCUCCUGGGCUGUUGCUGACGCUGAGGCCCGAAAGCGUGGGGAGCAAACAGGAUUAGAUACCCUGGUAGUCCAUGCUAUAAACUAUGGACACUAGGUAUAGGGAGUAUCGACCCUCUCUGUGCCGAAGCUAACGCUUUAAGUGUCCCGCCUGGGAACUACGGCCGCAAGGCUA